rnacentral:misc_RNA from 1 species
UCAAACUUGGUCAUUUAGAGGAAGUAAAAGUCGUAACAAGGUUUCCGUAGGUGAACCUGCGGAAGGAUCAUUGAUGAAUUUAAUGGCAGGAGUCGGGAGGCUGUGCUGGUCCACCACGGGCAUCGUGCACGCUCUCCGACCCUGUUCAAUCCUCCUUCACACACCAGUGCACCCUGGGGGUCGGAUCUCCACCCGUCGCGAGGCGGGGUAAACACCUUGAUCCGUCCCUCAAUCACAUACACCAUAUCUUGAUGUCUUGCAUGUAACUUGUAACAACCUUAAUCACAACUUUCAACAAUGGAUCUCUUGGCUCUCGCAUCGAUGAAGAACGCAGC